rnacentral:rRNA from 1 species
UACAGAGGUGGCAAGCGUUGUUCGGAAUUACUGGGCGUAAAGGGCGCGUAGGCGGGCUGACAAGUCUGGGGUGAAAUCCCACGGCUCAACCGUGGAACUGCCUCAGAUACUGUCGGCCUCGAGGGAGGUAGGGGCGUGCGGAACUAACGGUGGAGCGGUGAAAUGCGUUGAUAUCGUUAGGAACUCCGGUGGCGAAAGCGGCGCGCUGGACCUCUUCUGACGCUGAGGCGCGAAAGCUAGGGGAGCAAACGGG